ensembl:lncRNA
GUCAGAAUCUCAUGUGUGGUGAGACCCUGGGACCACAGUGAACACUUUCUGCCCUUGCAAUGCCCUCCAGGCUAAAGAGAAAGGGGAUAAUAUUCAUUGCUCAAGUUAUCCCCGAGAUCAAGGACUAGGCACUGUGGCAGGUGUUCUGAGUCUCAGGAAAGAGCUGAUGCAGACCUGGGAGGAUUGACUGGCAGAGCUGAAGAUCAAGUGCAGGUAUAGGAGCCCUGAAGUAAUAAAUGACAUCACAGCAUCUCUAACAGAUAAAGAGCCUGAGCUGCAGAGUAAAGCGAAAGACCACUAGUAUCUGGGGGCUGUAGAAUCAGACCCCAGAGAGCUUCUAGGGAAAAAGUCAGUCUGUUUAAAUCUGGAGCACUACAGUUGGGGUGGGGGCACUAUGGAAUGAUUUUAAAACUGAAUUUGCUGCUGGAAGGCCUCACACAGCUGGGAGCUAAUAGGGAGCCCUCACAGUAGGCAGCAUAUGAGGCAGGAUUCACUCCUUGGGGAACAGUGUACAUUUGAGUCACGGAAGCAGCACCAGCCUGUCUAAAGCACAGGGACUGAGGAAAGGCCUCCGAAGUGGCAGUGGCGAGCUUAGCAGCAGUACUGGGGAAGUGGAGUAUGAUGGAAACCGCAUUCUCCGUCCUGGUAGGUAAGGCCAGGCCAAGACGGAAGACCUGUCUCCCUUUGGGAAUCAAACACUGGGGUCCAGAGUGGACUUAAGAGGACUAAAACCUACUAUGAGGCUUCAAGGAGCCCUAGGCCUCAGCUAUGCCUUUGUGUGUGUAAGACUGUCCAGAGACCCCCUAGUUCCCUCACCUUAAAAUGAAGGGCAUUAGCAUCAGCCUCAAGGCAGUCGUCACGGUGCGACUUCCUCUGUUGGUGGAAGGAUACUCCGUGGCCCUUACUAGCUCUGUCUCAGAGCACAGCACAAGGGGUACGUGUGAGGGUGCCUUGUUGCAUCUGAUUGAAAAGACCCUUCCAGAGACAAAUCUCUGGGUGGUUCUCGACUCUUCUCUUUCCCUGGGCAGUUGUAGAGAACCCACACUUCAAUGGACGGCCUGCCCAGGUUACCGUUCCCUUGUCCCAUGUAGUGGUGGCAACUUUCCAUAAAAGAGGCGGGGAGGCAGAAGGUUACGGAGCCCUGGGUUUGACUUCCCACCACUUGGCACUUGACCUUGUUCUUCACCAUUCGUGUUCCUUGAGACCUAUUGCCCCACUUAUUAGUCAAGUCUUUAACAUCUCCAGAGCCAUCUCCUAGGAGACAUUGGUGACCUUUAUUCCUGUAACUUCAGUCUUAAGAGACGUUGGCUGAGAGUGCGUCAAGGCCAGGAAGUAUUUAACAAAGGAUUUUACAUUAAAGGAGUGAACGUGAGCUUUACUCUUGGGCGCAGAAGUGCCAAGAAUAGUCAUGUAUGGCCAAAGCAAAUAUGGAAGGGCCCACAAGAGAGGAAAAGAGACAAUGCACUUCAAUGGUUCCCUGGUGCCAUGGUUCCCAUUCCUUAGCUGGGUCAUUGAAGUCCUGCAUGACCCUUGACCAUAGAGGCUAUGUCGCCUGACCAGACACAGAACCUGCCUAACCAGGCCUGGCACAGUACUUGCUGGUCUGUGGCUUUGUGGGUAAAAUAGUUGGUGACUUGGUCGAUUAGUGCUAGGUUCCUGAAGGUGUUAGGAGGCCAGUCUUUCCUAGAAGGAAGGGAAUCCCCUCCACAGACUCCUCUUGGCAGCGUCGCAGUACUAAGGAUUAUUUUGCAAACUAGUAUUCUGAGACAGCAGAUGAGGUGAAAACUCAUAAAAGUACACGGCCUGGCAUCGUUUCUGUAGAGCACGCAAGACAGGCGCCUGUCAGACCAGUUGUGAUGGAGUCUUGGUUACAUCCUUCUCUCUCCCGCCUGUGCCUUCAAGCCCAUGUUUGAAACCUCCCUGCUCUUCCUGUCCUUUCGUACCUGACAGGUGGGUGCGCUGACAGCAGUGUGGAGUAGGGGACUCCCUGUUCUGAGACUGAGGCCUGCACUGGCCAGUCGGUCGCUCCGUGUUUCACCACAGAUUGACAGCAACCCCUGGCACUUGGUUCCUGGACUAUAGACCGUAAGCUGAGUUGGUUGUCGGCAUCCUCCUGCCUUUGCCACCUUCUCUCCCCAGAGAUCGUGAGCAUCUUCACGAGUGUCAAGCUCAUAACUGUCUCCCUUCAGCCCCCUCCACUGCCAUAGACCUGCACCCCUGAAAACGUAUUGCCCAAACAAGAGUCGUGCUCCAGACCCAUGCCCUCCACAGCCCAGGGGCUCACUCGUCUCUGUAAGCCCACUACUUACAGACGGACAGGGCCCUCUAUAGGGGCUGCUUUCAGUGGAUGGCUUUGGGUUUGUUUCUUUAACUAAUCAAAUGUGAAUUGGUUAUUUCCAUACUUGAAGCAAUUCUUGUGGGUGCUCAGUGGUGCCAUUUUUCACAGACAGAAACUAGGGCCCACGGAGACUGAGAACACACCCAGCUAUUGCUGUAAUGACCCUUGUGGCUGUGUCCACUCUUAACAGCCUGGUGAGCAGGUGUGGAACCUCCUCAGCUGAUAACUCUACUAUACCUGUAAACCAGACUUUCUGGCCCCUCAGUGUUUCCCAGGCCCCUGGCUUUCUCUUCAGUUGGAUCCAGUCAUCUCUGGCUACUCAGUUGCACCCAUGUCUCUGAGCAUCCAGCACAACUCCUUAUAACCUGUGGUCUACAUGGCUGCUAUUUGGCUUCCUUACUAACUUAGGGCAUUUUCUGUGGCACUUGGUUCAACUUUUGUCCUUUCACAAGGAUGGCAUGCUCUCUCUCGUGGAGUAACUGGUACUCACCAUCUGACUGGCACUGCCAUGCUCCUUCGUCAGGUGCCAACCAGAGACACUUGUCCUCAAAAGAAAUGGUACAAAAACGUAUCUGGGAUUGGGGUGACAACUCUCACCAUCAUGAGCACCAAGAAGGAAUCACUGUAUCACUUAAGGGAUUUAAUUGUCCCCUUUGGGAUUAGCAUAGUGUUAGAGGCAGAAAGGAGAGUCUGAGGGGAACAAGUAAAGGCGAGCUUGCUCUCCCAGCUUCGAAGGAAGGGAGCUGGGAGGAACUCCUUUUGGACUGUUCUUUUAUAUGGCUCUUACUUGGCAAGUGCUUUUCUAGUCAGAAAACCUGAGCAGUUGUCAGGAGGGCUUCCUGAAACUCUCCAGCACCCUAAGAACAGCACAGUUGUGCCUACUGUACUAAAGGGCUUGCAGAUGUCAAUUGCCCAGGAGACAGAGCAGACCUGGGACUUGCCCUGUUGUCCUCCAGAGCCUUACCUUGACUGCCCUCCUCCAACUACCAGUCCUGAGUAGAAGAGGAGUGUAGAGCUGCCGAGAGAAGCCCUGAGAAGAUUGAGGGGCAGAGGGUUGGGACGCCUGUUCACAGGGAAAGGGCAAAAGCAGAUACCUUUUUAAACAGUCAAGUUGGAAACAAGAACCUACUAGAAAUUUGGAGUGAGGGAAGAAUUAGAUACUUUAAAGUGUCUAAAAAACAAAGAAAUGGCAUCAGGAAGGUGAAGGCCAGCAGUGAGCAAGGACAAGUAAUGGUCCAUGUCUCUGCUGCCUGGGGUGGACUGCACUAUUUAGUCAAGGUUAACCUGGGGCAGAAAGCACGUAGAACCCACCACCCAAACCAAAGAAGCUUAGCACCGCCAGUGACCUCAUCUGUCUGCUGGGAGGCACUAAGUAAAUGUUUGCUGAUAGGAAAUAAACAUCUGAAAUGAGAAAUUACAUCAAACAAAGCAGCCAGGCAUGGAGGCUCAUGCCUGUUAUCCUAGCACGUGGUAGGUACAGAUCGAAGGAGUUCAAGGUCGUCCUUGACUACAUAAGGACUUAGAGGCCACUCUAAGCUACACGAAACCCUGUCUCAAAAAAAUAAAUAGAACAGCCACCAAUUGAAACUGUCAGUGUUAAGGUGAUGAUGACGGACAGGAACCAGGGUCUCAUCCAUCGGCCAGCUGCAUGGGGCUGCCUGGGUGACCUACAGUGGUCAAGACUAGAAAAGCAACCCCUCUUUGAUCACAGUUCUGCCAGGUGUUUGAGGGUUGUAUGCACUUAUGGGUCUGGAGAUCCGCAGAUGCCCUAGAAUGUCUCAAUCAUCCAGAGUUCACAUAGAAGACCUCCAGCAAGAACUGACACAGACAGUCGUCCAUUCUCAUUGUAGCGUCCCUUUCACACAGCACACAGCUUCCUUCCCUGGAUAGAUAAGAUUUACUACCCGAGUCUUACAACCCAUAGCUCCACACAUUUUUUUUCUUUGUUUUGUUUUGAAACUUUAUUUUAAAAUUGUUUUGCCUACAUGUAUGAAAGUGUACCAUGUGGGUACCUGGUGCCCUUAGAGGCCAGAAGACAGCAUUGGAUCCCCCUGGAGCUCCUAUGUGGGUGUCAGGAACUAAAAACCCAGGUCCUCUGCAAAAUCAGCCACUGCUGAAGCAUUGUUCCAGCCCCUGCACCGUUUUGAAUCAAUUAGACAGGCAGAGUCUGCAUCCUGAUUUCCCAGUGAGGAUGCUUCUCUACUGACUUGCUGGGAAUUCUCUCCACUCAUCAGGUCUGCCUCCCAAUCUGUGGGAGGAAGAAGCAGUUAUCGAGAUUAUCCCUGAGUUCCUUUUCAGUGCUAGCCUCACAUCUUCAGACAGCCCACAGCUCUGACAACACUGACCAGGGUGCGGAUCAGGCUGCGUUCGUCAGCUCCACAUCCCGGAGCGUGGAAAGAUCAACGUGACUGCAAGCCCCAAAAGGUGAACUUGCCAGGAAAGGCAGGCUGAGAUGAUUUUGCUGCUUGUGGUGAAAUGUCUCAGCACACAGACAAUUCAGGUAGGUCGUACAGGUGAGGGAGAGGGAGAGGAUGGACUCUUGUGGCCCCUGAGAAAUGUUUCCUUGCAGGAUCGGAUGCCUACAGACUGGUGGAUGCCAAUCGACGGAUCCAUUUGCAUUGGCUAAGUGGGUGAGCCAUCUCUCCACACUCUCACCUUCAAAUGCUGCCACUGUUGCCAGUCAGACGUCCUGUGCAGGCGGCACGUUCCUUGAGGACAACUCCAGGUGUCAUCAUCAACCAGAAACUCGGACCUGGAGCAGGAGAAGCCUUGUCCAAAGCCAAGAUCCGGCGUCUGGUACCUUCACACUGCUGACCUCUGUCUGUUUUGUGAGCCAAGGCUGUUUUUUAAUGAGCAAAGUUUUGAAUAGCGUCUUAAUACCUGAUACGACAGGUUCCAGACUGGAGGUGCCACUGAGCCCUGUGGCCAACAGGACUCGCCUCAAGUGGCUGUCUGCAUCUCCGUUCACUCCGGUGCUCCACUCGGCUGGCCGCACAUAGCCUUCCUGCCUCCUGUCUUAGCUGUUUCCUGCCGACUGGUGCCUUUAGUGGCUUCCUUGUGCUGGUCCCCAUUUGCUCACAGACAAGGAUUUCUGUAGGACAAGUACUUGGAACUGUUGGGACACAGGGAAGAAACGUCCUGAAUUCAGAUAAAAACGACCACAGUAUUCUGCAAAGUGCCCAGUUCAAUCUCCUGCCAGGAUGUCUCCAAGUUUAAUGUUUUCGCCAACUGGAUGGAUGAAAAUACUGUCUUGGGUUAGUGUACACUGUCUGUAUCCCACCCCAGCCGACACUUUCAUUUAUCCCCGUUCCUAGUUUCCUCUCUGGACUCUGUCCAGGUCCUCCCUGCCUCUCCCCCUCUGCCUGCCUGCCCACCUGCCUCCCUCCCUCCUGUCCAUCUCUUUUCUUCCAUUUUCUGAGACAGGGAGUUAGUAUGUAGCCCUCCUGUCUCCUCGGGCUUCCGGAUCCGGGGACAAUGGCCAUGAUGCCACAUCCUACCCAUUUCUUUCCCUUUUUUUUUCUUUUAAAAAUAUUUUAUCUUUUAUUGAUUUUUAGUUCCUUAUGUAUUUUAUGAAUUUGACAUACUAAUGCUUUGUUGGUGGUGGCAAAUAUUUUUCUGCAUUGUGGGGUUUGACAAUUGAAUUGCUUUUGGAAAAUUUUAAGGUUUUGAUAACAGUUGUCUGUUGGUUUUACUUCUUACACCUUCUUUUGACAAUCUUAAGCCUCCUUAUAUUAAUUUCUUGUAUUUUCUUCUCUGGCAUCUAUAACUUACAUAUAUAUAUAUAUUUAUGUUAUAUGCAGU